AUCGAUUUCUCUCUCGGUUCAUCCCAGUGUUUUAUAUUCGAAUCAGAGAGUACUCAAAGACAGUGGCAGUAGCACCUUUUGUUGUAAAUUACAAUGGAGCAUUGUUUCGUCAAUACCCUGGUCCAUGGCAGGUGAUGCUUAAACAAGCAGAUGGUUCUUAUGCUUGUGUAGCAGAAAGUGCAACACGCUUUACACUUGGCGAGACCAAAGAAGAACUGCUGAGGGUCCUUGGACUGCAGGAGGAAAAAGGAAGCUUACUAGAAUUUCUUCGCAGGGGCUACAAGUCUGCAACUUGGUGG
rnacentral:misc_RNA from 1 species